rnacentral:tRNA from 1 species
GGGGCUGGGGCUCAGUGGUAGAGCACUUGCCUAGCAUGUAUGAGGCACUGGGUUCGAUCCCCAGCACCA